UAGAACAGAGCACUACUGUAAUCCCUCUUCUCCGAUCGCUGUCAUCGUGUUCCUUGCUGCUAGAGCUAGGGCCUUGUUCUUUCUGCUCUGCUUCGCGGUGUUCAUCUGCUCAUGCCGUUCUGAAACUUCUGCUCUGGUUGGCGUUCUGAAACCUUUGCUCUGCUCCGCCGUGGUGCCGUGCUCUGUCGUCUCAAGCAAAUCGAGAACUAUCCGCCGUUCACCUCUUUCUCUCAAGCCUCUCGCAUCAUACUCAAUCCUUAGUGGUGACUAGGGGUGUUCAAAACCGAUCCGGACCGAACUAAACCGAAGGAUCAAACCGAAAAAACCGAAAACCGAAUUAAUCAAAAACCGAAAAAACCAAAAAAAAACGUUGUUUUGCUGUUUUUUGCAGUUCGGUUCGGUUUUUGGUUCUUACCACCAAAACCCUAACCGAACCGAACCGAAUCGGUUCUACAAAAACCCUAAAAAUUAAAAACUACCUACCCCACCCCCCCCACCCCCCUGGAAACCUAACCCCCAAAUCCCAGAUCGGAGCCAGCCUGAGCCACCAUAUCUCACCCUCUGCUGCCUGCGCACCCACUCACCCAGCCACGGAGCCAGCCUGAGCCACCCACGUCCUUGAGUCUCGAAGCCUUCCUCCAAAUCCCACCGCCGAAGAGAGCAGAUCCCCCACCGCCGGUACACCACGAAGACGAAGACCCAGCUCAACACAGCACCUCGCCUGGCUCGCCACCACCCAGUCACCCACUGACCCAACAGCCACAGGGCAGCACAGCAGACAGCACCGACGGGCGACGAUCAACACAGGACCUUCGACCUCGCCACCUCCGACCUCGCCGCCUCCACCCAGCAGCGUUUCUGGGUUCUGGGUUUAGGGUCACCCACGAUCAAGACACUGAAGACAGCACCUCCCAGUCUCCCACCCAGCCACCGAUUCAAGUGAAUAUGGAGCCCGAGCCAUCUAUUCAGUUUGGGGCUGAUGUGAUGGAAGUAGUUGCAUCUUGGACAAAAGCCUUGUGCGUUGACAUCUCUCAAGGCCGCAUACCAAAUCAUGUUGAUGAUGUUAAAGCUGAAGCUAGUGAAUUAGGAAAUAAAGUUUUGUCUAGUUGAAGUGUACUUGACAUUGGGACAGGCAAUAGUUUGCUUCUCCAAGAAUUAGCUAAACAAGGGUUCUCUUAUUUGACUGGUACGGAUUAUAAUGAAGGGGCCAUCAGCCUUGCUCAAAGCGUUGCUAAUCGGGAUGUAUUUUUUUUGAAUUGAUUGAAAAAACCGAACAAACCGAACUGAAUCAAACUGAUUUUAAUUGGUUUGGUUUGGUUCGGAUGGCUUCGAUAAAAAAAUCGAACCAAACCGAACCGCAGUUUAAUUACACGAUCGAAUCGGAUGACUUUUUCCUCAAAAAUCGAAUCAAACCGCACCGCGAACACCCCUAGUGGUGACCACACAGUAAUGAUAAUUGAUUGUGAAACUUGAUAGCUUAAUAAGCUAAUCACAAAGUAUUAAACUAUUAAUCUUAUUAUGAUCAUGUGAUAAUUUCUUGCUAAA